AUAUAUAUACAUAUAUAUAAUAAUUUGGAUAUACAUAUUUAUAUUUUAUUUAAAAUUAUUUUUGUACAUCAUAAUUCGACCGUUAUGCAUCGUACUUGUAAGUCCUAAAUUUUGUGUAUGUGUGUGUAAUUAUUAAUGGCCAUUUCUGCAGACCUACUUAGUAUUAGUAAAUUUUAAAAUCUAGGAAUGCUCAAUAAACUAGUAAAAUAUUCAAUUUCUCUUUCUUUUCUUUCUCCGCUAAACAAGUGGCGCAAAUUUACACAUAUAAUUUUAUCUGCAUAAUUAUGAUAUCGUUUAGAUAUAUUUACGAUAAAUUGAAACAGUUAUUUUGUCUCUGACAAUGAGAUUAUAUAUAUAAUAAUUUUAAUUCUACAAAAAAAUUGUCACUUUCGGCCUCAUUAAAAGCACAAACUAUAGAGAUAAUUGCAUUAAGAAGGCAAACGAAUAUGGUGAUAAACUUUCAAAUUUCUAAAAAUGAGAAGGAAGAGAGAAAUAAAAUGGCGCGAUUUUCCCAGGGGUAUAAAUCAAGUGGGAGAUACAGGCUGCGACGACGAAGAAAGAUAGAUUGAUAACGGGAACGAAAAGACUGAUAUACAUAUACAUACAGGCUAUCUCACCAAAAGUGGCCACCUUCUUUUAUCUUUUAAACUAAAAGAGAUAGACCAUAGCAAAUAUAUAUCAAAUUAAAUGAUUCAAACUGAACUCUAUUGUGAACAUAGUAGUUGCUUACAAAAACUAUCUGUGUUAGGUUAACGAACGGAGAGAUAUGCAUAAUUUUUUUAUAACAAUGUGAAUAUUUCGACACAAUAAAAGUUAUAGCGUUGUUUGAAACGAAUACAACGAUGUAUAAUUUAAUGUAAAUAUUUUAAGACAAUAAAACUUGUAUAAUAAUUUACAUGUAAAUUACAUUAAUAUAGAUAGCUUUUAUAAGCAACUACUAUACUCACAAUAGAGUUCAAUUUAAACCAUUUAGUUUGAUAUAUAUUUAUUAUAGUCUAUCUCUGUUAGUUUAAAAGAUAAAAGAGGAUGACCAUUUUUGAUGGGUUACCCUGUGUAUAUAUAAAAGAAAAAAGAAGAAAAGGCAGAGAAAAUAGCAAUGAAAACGCAAAUAAUCGCACUAAAGUCAAGAAUUGUACGGGUUGACAUUUUAAGUGAUAAGCACUAUAAAUAGCGGUUCUGUGCAAAUUAAUUUAGGUACACUGCAUUCUGUUACAAUUCUUAAUUUUUUUUCUUUCUCAAUAUAUAUGCAAUACUCUACUAUUACUUGAAUAUCGAUGUACUCGAGUAUCACAAACUUUAUAUAAAUAAUCGGUCUGGCUACAUACAAUAUUAUAUCAUAUGUUUGAUUAUUUUCCAGCUACUUUGAUAAUCGAAAAAGAUUCCCGAUAUGCUCAUCUUCAUCCCUGCGCUGACUCUGCAACAUCGAUGUUACUACAACGGCGAUAAACGUUACACCGGAUAACGGAUUUAGGGAAUCUUUACCGAGCAAAGAAACAAACUUCCUCGAAAGCGUAUCGCGACGGUUAUGGCCGCAGAAGUACGAGCAUUUGACUGGGCAAUUUUUCAGCGAGGUACCUUAAAAAAAGACCUUCUGUCAGAGCCCUCCGAGUGUACGGUAGAAAAAGAAAAAAGAAAUAACAAACGCGCGAACGUCGCAGACGAAUUUCAAUGUGUCCAGCGUGUCACUGACCGUAGGUGUUGGCGGAGGAAUGCAGAAAAGCGGGACUUCCGGUGAAUACCUUCGAGCAUGACCCGCCGGAAGACGACGCGAUCGAACGUUCACCGAUUCCUUUGAAAGCUUCGCCGGCCUUCCCGA